rnacentral:rRNA from 1 species
UUUGAUUUUCUUCGAAACUGAAGAUUUGGUGAUUGAGUGGCGGACGGGUGAGUAACGCGUGGGUAACCUGCCCUGUACAGGGGGAUAACAGUCAGAAAUGACUGCUAAUACCGCAUAAGACCACAGCACCGCAUGGCGCAGGGGUAAAAACUCCGGUGGUAUAAGAUGGACCCGCGUUGGAUUAGCUAGUUGGCAGGGCAGCGGCCUACCAGGGCGACGAUCGGUAGCCGGACUGAGAGGUUGAACGGCCACAUUGGGACUGAGACACGGCCCAGACUCC